GACAGAGGUGCCAAGCGUUAGGCGGAAUCACUGGGCUUAAAGCGCGUGUAGGCGGCCCGAUAAGUCCGCUGUGAAAGUCCAGGGCUCAACCCUGGAAUGCCGGUGGAUACUGUCGGGCUCGAGUCCGGAAGAGGCGAGUGGAAUUCCUGGUGUAGCGGUGAAAUGCGCAGAUAUCAGGAGGAACACCGAUGGCGAAGGCAGCUCGCUGGGACGGUACUGACGCUGAGGCACGAAAGCGUGGGGAGCAAACAGG
rnacentral:rRNA from 1 species